rnacentral:rRNA from 1 species
AUGGGGUGACUGCGUACCUUUUGUAUAAUGGGUCAGCGACUUAUAUUCUGUAGCAAGGUUAACCGAAUAGGGGAGCCGAAGGGAAACCGAGUCUUAACUGGGCGUUAAGUUGCAGGGUAUAGACCCGAAACCCGGUGAUCUAGCCAUGGGCAGGUUGAAGGUUGGGUAACACUAACUGGAGGACCGAACCGACUAAUGUUGAAAAAUUAGCGGAUGACUUGUGGCUGGGGGUGAAAGGCCAAUCAAACCGGGAGAUAGCUGGUUCUCCCCGAAAGCUAUUUAGGUAGCGCCUCGUGAAUUCAUCUCCGGGGGUAGAGCACUGUUUCGGCAAGGGGGUCAUCCCGACUUACCAACCCGAUGCAAACUGCGAAUACCGGAGAAUGUUAUCACGGGAGACACACGGCGGGUGCUAACGUCCGUCGUGAAGAGGGAAACAACCCAGACCGCCAGCUAAGGUCCCAAAGUCAUGGUUAAGUGGGAAACGAUGUGGGAAGGCCCAGACAGCCAGGAUGUUGGCUUAGAAGCAGCCAUCAUUUAAAGAAAGCGUAAUAGCUCACUGGUCGAGUCGGCCUGCGCGGAAGAUGUAACGGGGCUAAACCAUGCACCGAAGCUGCGGCAGCGACGCUUAUGCGUUGUUGGGUAGGGGAGCGUUCUGUAAGCCUGCGAAGGUGUACUGUGAGGUAUGCUGGAGGUAUCAGAAGUGCGAAUGCUGACAUAAGUAACGAUAAAGCGGGUGAAAAGCCCGCUCGCCGGAAGACCAAGGGUUCCUGUCCAACGUUAAUCGGGGCAGGGUGAGUCGACCCCUAAGGCGAGGCCGAAAGGCGUAGUCGAUGGGAAACAGGUUAAUAUUCCUGUACUUGGUGUUACUGCGAAGGGGGGACGGAGAAGGCUAUGUUGGCCGGGCGACGGUUGUCCCGGUUUAAGCGUGUAGGCUGGUUUUCCAGGCAAAUCCGGAAAAUCAAGGCUGAGGCGUGAUGACGAGGCACUACGGUGCUGAAGCAACAAAUGCCCUGCUUCCAGGAAAAGCCUCUAAGCAUCAGGUAACAUCAAAUCGUACCCCAAACCGACACAGGUGGUCAGGUAGAGAAUACCAAGGCGCUUGAGAGAACUCGGGUGAAGGAACUAGGCAAAAUGGUGCCGUAACUUCGGGAGAAGGCACGCUGAUA